GUCUAUGGCCAUACCACCCUGAACGCGCCCGAUCUCGUCUGAUCUCCGAAGCUAAGCAGGGUCGGGCCUGGUUAGUACUUGGAUGGGAGAAUAAGUCAAACACACAGGCGUCAGACA
rnacentral:rRNA from 1 species